AACGAACGCUGGCGGCAGGCUUAACACAUGCAAGUCGAGCGCCCCGCAAGGGGAGCGGCAGACGGGUGAGUAACACGUGGGAACAUACCCAUCUCUGCGGAACAACUCCGGAAAACUGGAGCUAAUACCGCAUACGCCCUUCGGGGGAAAGAUUUAUCGGAGAUGGAUUGGCCCGCGUUGGAUUAGCUAGUUGGUGGGGUAAAGGCCUACCAAGGCGACGAUCCAUAGCUGGUCUGAGAGGAUGAUCAGCCACAUUGGGACUGAGACACGGCCCAAACGCCUACGGGAGGCAGCAGUGGGGAAUAUUGGACAAUGGGCGCAAGCCUGAUCCAGCCAUGCCGCGUGAGUGAUGAAGGCCUUAGGGUUGUAAAGCUCUUUCACCGAUGAAGAUAAUGACGGUAGUCGGAGAAGAAGCCCCGGCUAACUUCGUGCCAGCAGCCGCCGUAA
rnacentral:rRNA from 1 species